rnacentral:rRNA from 1 species
UACGUAGGGUGCAAGCGUUGUCCGGAAUUAUUGGGCGUAAAGAGCUCGUAGGCGGUCCGUCACGUCGGCUGUGAAAUCCCGAGGCUCAACCUCGGGUCUGCAGUCGAUACGGGCAAACUAGAGUAUUGCAGGGGAGACUGGAAUUCCUGGUGUAGCGGUGAAAUGCGCAGAUAUCAGGAGGAACACCGGUGGCGAAGGCGGGUCUCUGGGCAAUAACUGACGCUGAGGAGCGAAAGCGUGGGGAGCGAACAGG